rnacentral:lncRNA from 1 species
AUCCACGUCCCCCCUACACUCCCACACCCCCAUUCCCGCCAACCUCUUCCCUAUCUCCCACGCAUUCACUGGCGUCAGGCCGCCCCACUUAAUUCUCGGUCUACACUCCUUAGUCCUCCUCUUUCUAUUCUUCUUUAUACCCAAAUCCAUAACCAAGAGCCUAUGCUGGGUCGAAAGAUUCUCACUCAGGAUGACUUUACAGUCCUUACACAACGCCCUAUCUCCUUUCCUAAGCAAC